GAUGAAGAACGAAGCGAAAUGCGAUAAGUAAUGUGAAUUGCAGAAUUCAGUGAAUCAUCGAAUCUUUGAACGCACAUUGCGCCCCCUGGUAUUCCGGGGGGCAUGCCUGUUCGAGCGUCAUUACAACCCUCAAGCUCUGCUUGGUAUUGGGCCCCGCCAGUUCUGGCGGGCCCUAAAGUCAGUGGCGGUGCCUUCCGGCUCCGAGCGUAGUAAUUCUUCUCGCUCUGGAGACCCGGUUGUGUGCUUGCCAACAACCCCCAAUUUUUUAAGGUUGACCUCGGAUCAGGUAGGGAUACCCGCUGAACUUAAGCAUAUCAAUAAGCGGAGGA
rnacentral:misc_RNA from 1 species